UGGGGAAUUUUGGACAAUGGGCGAAAGCCUGAUCCAGCAAUGCCGCGUGUGUGAAGAAGGCCUUCGGGUUGUAAAGCACUUUUGUCCGGAAAGAAAUCCUUGGCUCUAAUACAGUCGGGGGAUGACGGUACCGGAAGAAUAAGCACCGGCUAACUACGUGCCAGCAGCCGCGGUAAUACGUAGGGUGCAAGCGUUAAUCGGAAUUACUGGGCGUAAAGCGUGCGCAGGCGGUUUGCUAAGACCGAUGUGAAAUCCCCGGGCUCAACCUGGGAACUGCAUUGGGUGACUGGCAGGCUAGAGUAUGGCAGAGGGGGGUAGAAUUCCACGUGUAGCAGUGAAAUGCGUAGAGAUGUGGAGGAAUACCGAUGGCGAAGGCAGCCCCCUGGGCCAAUACUGACGCUCAUGCACGAAAGCGUGGGGAGCAAACAGGAUUAGAUACCCUGGUAGUCCACGCCCUAAACGAUGUCAACU
rnacentral:rRNA from 1 species